rnacentral:rRNA from 1 species
UGAGUACGAGAUGCUACGGCAUCGAAGCAGUCUAUGUCAUACUUCCAAGAAAAGCUUGCACUGUCAUAAACAAAGAAUGCCUGUACCAUAACCGACACAGGUGGGUAGGUAGAGUAUACUAAGGGGCGCGAGAUAACUCUCUCUAAGGAACUCGGCAAAAUGACUCCGUAACUUCGGGAGAAGGAGUGCCUUAUUUCUAAGGUUGCAAUAACAAGAUCCAAGCAACUGUUUACCUAAAACACAGGUCUCCGCUAAGUCGUAAGACGAUGUAUGGGGGCUGACGCCCCUGUGCCAGAAGGUUAAAGAAGUUGGUUAGCAUUAGCGAAGCUGAUAACUGAAGCCCUGGUGAACGGCGGCCGUAACAAUAACGGUCCUAAGGUAGCGAAAUUCCUUGUCGGGUAAGUUCCGACCCGCACGAAAGGCGUAAUGAUUUGGAUACUGUCUCGGAGAGGGGCUCGGUGAAAUAGACUUGUCUGUGAAGAUGCGGACUACCUGCACCUGGACAGAAAGACCCUAUGAAGCUUUACUGUAACUUGAGAUUGAAAUUGGACUUUAUUUGCGCAGUAUAGGUGGGAGGCGUUGAGAAUAAUCUUGCGGGAUUGUUGGAGCCAUCAGUGAGAUACCACUCUUGUAAUGUUAGAUUUCUAACUUUGUAUCAUUAUCUGGUCAAAGAACAGUUUCAGGCGGGCAGUUUGACUGGGGCGGUCGCCUCCCAAAGGGUAACGGAGGCGCACAAAGGUUUCCUCUGAACGGGUAGAAAUCGUAUCUAGAGUGUAAAGGCAUAAGGAAGCUUGACUGUGAGACCUACAAGUCGAGCAGGGACGAAAGUCGGUCUUAGUGAUCUGACGGUGCUGAGUGGAAAGGCCGUCACUCAACGGAUAAAAGUUACUCUAAGGAUAACAGGCUGAUCUCCCCCAAGAGUUCACAUCGACGGGGAGGUUUGGCACCUCGAUGUCGGCUCAUCGCAUCCUGGGGCGGUAGUCCGUCCCAAGGGUUGGGCUGUUCGCCCAUGAAAGCGGUACGCGAGCUGGGUUCAGAACGUCGUGAGACAGUUCGGUCCAUAUCCGGUGUAGGCGUUAGAAUAUUGAGAGGAGCCUUCUCUAGUACGAGAGGACCGAGAAGGACAUACCUCUGGUGUACCAGUUAUCGUGCCAACGGUAAACGCUGGGUAGCUAUGUAUGGAGUGGAUAACCGCUGAAAGCAUCUAAGUGGGAAGCCCACCUCAAGAUAAGUAUUCUCAU